rnacentral:rRNA from 1 species
GACGAACCGUGCGAACGUUGUUCGGAUUCACUGGGCUUAAAGGGCGCGUAGGCGGCUUGCCAAGUCAGGGGUGAAAUCUUUCGGCUCAACCGGAAAAGUGCCUUUGAUACUGGCGGGCUAGAGGGAGGUAGGGGUGCGUGGAACUUCUGGUGGAGCGGUGAAAUGCGUAGAUAUCAGAAGGAACGCCGGUGGCGAAAGCGACGCACUGGAUCUCUACUGACGCUGAGGCGCGAAAGCUAGGGGAGCGAACGGG